CAGACUGCACAGAUGGAACAUGGAAAGGCUUUUAACAGAAAUGAAUACUUUCAGACUAGGUUUGAAGGACUGAGUAGGAGUAAACUAAAAGAGAAAAAGCAGGACAAAAGAAGCACCACUUUGGAAGCUCAAAGCCGCACUGGAAACACAGUCUUUCAGGAUGUCUGAAAGGGGCAAGUCUGUUUGUGUGGGAUAUACAGGGAGUCCACGGAGCCUCCCCUGCAAGCAUCAGUACAGAAGUCGAUGAUAAUCUGGAUGCAAGCCCAGGAGUGUGGAGUCCACUGACUCAGAAGACCUGCAUCUAAGGAAUUGGCUGUUCUUAUCCUUAAGAAUGAUGACUGUGUUUCCAAUUCCAGUAGACCCUUUGAUGCGUUCUGAAUAAAUAUUCCUUUUGGAAUUGAACUUCUAGAGCCCUUAACUUUGGCCCACUCUAGUUUUCUGUCUGUUUUUUUUUUUUUUAAUAUUUUUUUUUUGUAAAGAUAAGGUCUUGCUUUGUUGCCCAGGCUGGUCUUGAAUUCCUGGACUCAAGCAAUCCACCUGCCUUGGCCUCCCAAAGUGCUGGGAUUAUAGGUGUGAACCAUUGUGUCCGAUCGCUCUCUGGUUUUUCUAAUAUCAUGAUCCCAACUCUGUUCUUUAUGUAAAUUUCCCUGAUCACAUGGUUGUAUCUUGGCAUUUCAAAAUCCUUGACAGACUUUGUUUUGUUUGAAUUUUACAAUGAACUUACAUGACUAGGCACGGUCCCCAGUUCAGUUUUAUAGACAAGGAUUCUGUAGGUCAAGAAGUGAAACACAACCAAUAACAGCAGGUGACAGGAUUUAAACCUGGGUCACUUUACUUAUUUUUUUCUACUCUAUCAUUAUGUGAAUCUAUCCUACCUCUGCAAUGACAGAUGGCCCUAGAGCAAGAACACUUCCUUACAUCUGGUAUACAGUCAAAAAGUAAAAAUUCCACACAAAUAAAUAUGGAAAGAAUUUUUACCUGCUCCUAUAGCUUCCUUUCAGGGACCUGGCACCCACAAAUGUUGGGUAACAGAAAGAGGACUUAUGUAACUUAACUCAAAGCAGAAAAGUUACAGAGACUGUCUUAGCAUAAUAGAGCAUGGAGUGGUCAUGCUUGGAUGUGCAAACUGUCUGAUAGUCUUGCACAUGGCUUGACCCCGAAUUACACUAGUGGGGCAAGUUGCCUGGGGCAAAGCAAACUUAUUGGACCCAAAGCUCUCAUUUGAGAAUUUUGUUGACUAAAAGUUAUAAAAUAUCAGCAAUUUCAUAUGGUUCAGCCUAAUAUUUUAUCACUCUUCCUUUUUCUAUUCUAAAACAAUAAUUUUUAAUAACGUAAGCUAUACACAUACAUGCUUUAAACAUACAACACCCUGACUAUCAUAUAGUGGAUAUUUCAAGAAGUAAAUGUUCAGCAUGUCUUCACCCCCACUUGAAGACAUAAUGUAUGUAUUAGGCUGUUCUGGCAUUGCUAUAAAGAAAUACCUGAGACUGUGUAAUUUAUAAGAAAGGAGCUUUAAUUGGCUCACGGUUCUGCAGGCUGUACAGGAAACAUAUUGGGUCUACUUCUGUGGAGGCUUCAGGGAACUUUGACUCAUGGUGGAAGGUGAAAUGAGAGCAGGCACCUCAUGUGACUGAAGCAGGAGCAAGAAAGAGAGAGCGAGCAAGGUGCCACACACUCUUAAACAACCAGAACUCUCUCUUGAGAAUUCACUCACUGUCUUGCCGUCAGCACCAAAGGGAUGGUCCUAAACCAUUCAUGAGAAAUCCUCCUCCAUGAUCCAAUCACCUCUCACCAGGCCCUACCCCCAACACUGGGAUUACAAUUCAAC
rnacentral:lncRNA from 1 species